AUAUUGGGGAGAGACCGAUAGCGAACAAGUACCGUGAGGGAAAGAUGAAAAGCACUUUGGAAAGAGAGUUAAACAGUACGUGAAAUUGUCAAAAGGGAACCAUUUGAAGUUAGUCAUGCUUGCCUGGAUUCAGCCUUGCUUUUGCUUGGUGCAUUUCCAGGUUUACAGGUCAGCAUCGGUUUUGACUGCUGGAUAAGGGUGAGAGGAAUGUGGCACCCUCGGGUGUGUUAUAGCCUUUCACUGGAUGCAGCAGUUGGGACCGAGGAACGCAGCGCGCCUUUAUGGCGGACCUUCGGGUACCUUCGCGCUUAGGAUGCUGGCAUAAUAGCUUCAAGUGACCCGUCUUGAAACACGGACC
rnacentral:rRNA from 1 species